rnacentral:rRNA from 1 species
ACCGUGAUAUCCUUAGUAGCGGCGAGCGAACAGGAUAGUAGCCCAUGCUGAAUCUACGAACUCCGCAUAGUUCGUAGAGAUGUAGCGUGUGGGAUCAUUGUCAACAAUGUUUAAUGUAUAGUGAAGUGAACUGGAACGUUUUGCCAUAGAGGGUGAUAGCCCCGUAAUUAUACAUGAGCAUUGUUUUCAAUGAUCCCUAGAGUAAGACUGUUUGAGAUUGCAGUCUGAAAAGGUGGUGAACUCCACCAAAGGCUAAAUACGGACACAAAACCGAUAGUGUACAAGUACUGUGAGGGAAAAGUGAAACAGAACUCUGUUAAGAGAGUUAAAUGUACUCGAAACCCUCUCUAAGUAAAAGGCAGAUGUAAGCCUUUUAACCAUUCAUCUCAAUUAUCGAAUGAUGACAUUGUGAUACGGGUGUUGGAUUAAAUGUCUGAUUUCGUGAGGUGAAUGUAAAGUGCGAGUUACUGUUCUAUUUCCGUGAAAUGUAUAUGUGAGAAGUUGUCGAUCUCAAUUAUAUCAUUUAAACACGGCACGGAAAUGAGCAGUGUUCGUGACCAUAUGCCUACAUAAAAUGGAAAACUCGUACAUCGGAGUUGAACAUUUUAUGUAACAGUGGAUUAUGCAUGCAAAGCAUAUACGUAUGAUGAGUUUGUUCAAAGUCAUGGAUGGAAUGAUCCACUGAUUUUUGAACAGACAGUUGUACCGUUAAAAUGGGAUAUAUGUUGUAUGAUAAUAUAUCUGUAUUUGCUUUGCAUGUGUAUGAAACUGGGGCAUUGGUACUCGCAUGGAUGGUGACAUCUGUCCCGUCUUGAAACACGGACUAUGGAGAAUUACUACUACGCGAGUCGAAGGGUUUAAAACCUCUAGGCGUAGCGAAAGCGAUAGGUGCUAAUUUAUAUGUUCGUUUAAAUGCAGCACCGACCAUCAUAAGAUCGUUAUGAUGAGUUUGAGCGUAGUGGUAGUGACCCGAAAGAUGGUGAUCUAUACCCGGGCAGGAUGAAGCUAGAGGAAACUCUAGUGGAGGUCCGUAAGGCAUCUGACAUGCAAAUCGAUCCUAAGACUCGGGUAUAGGGGCGAUAGACUAAUCGAACCAUCUAGUAGCUGGUUCCCUCCGAAAUAUCCCUCAGGAUCGCGGACACUGAGUGUUAGUUUCAUCAUUUAGAGAGAAUGAUUGGAGGCUUCGGGGUUACACGUACCUCGACCUACUCUCAAACUCCGAAAUGGUGACAUAGAUUAGCUUCUUAUAUUCCUAGGCAAGUGGGAUUAAGAGCUAAUUUGUGAAUAAUCAGUGUCCAGUGGGCCAUGUUUUGGUAAGCAGAACAGGCGAUCCGGGAUGAACCGAGAGUUGAGUUAAGGUGCCUAAAUGAGAUAUAAUUGAUACCAUAAAAGGUGUCGGUCAAUGUUGACAGCAGGGCGGUGGCCAUGGAAGUUGGCAUCCGCUAAGGAGUGUGUAUCAACUCACCUGCCUAAUUGACCGGUCCUGAAAAUGGAUGGCGCUAAAUAUCUCUACCGAUACUCAACCGUAUAGUCUGGCGGAGACUAUCCGGGUAGGAGGGCGCGAUGGUAGCGUCGAAGGAUUGACGUGAGUCAAUCUGGAGCUGCCAUCGGAGCUAAUCAUAGUGGUAGUAGCAACAUAAUCGGGUUAAAACCUCGAUGUCCGAGGUGGAGACGGGUUCCAUGUCAAUUGCCGUAAGACAUGGGUUAGUCGGUCCUAAGUGACUUCCUAACGGGGGAUAUAAAGACAGUAUGUCGGUUAACUGUCGGUCACGAAAGGGAAGCAGGUUAAUAUUCCUGCACCGGUUAUGUGAAUUUCACAGUUUGUCAUUGACUCAUUAUAAAUUCUAUUGGGGAGUAGAAUUUGAGUUGAUGGCAAACUGUUGAUUAGCGGUAACGCUAACGAACUGAGUUAAGUCUGUUGUAGCCAGAGGAAGAGUUAUCUUUUCUUCAUAACGAACUAAUAACCAUUGAGACGGGUUGUCGGGAGACAUGGUUAUAUAAGUUCGGAAGAGCGGUGCAUUUUAUGCAUCGUCUUUGCGACUACUAAUGACCCUUGAAAAACUCAGGGAGUACAUAAUUCCAUAGACCGACCGUACCGUUAUCCGCAACAGGUCUCCAAGGUUAAUAGCCUUUGGAUCGAUCGAUUAAUGUCCGUAAGGGAAGUCGGCAAAAUUGAUCCGUACCUUCGGUAGAAGGAUUGGCUCUAAGGGUUGAGUUUCCCGGGUUGUGAGCGCAUUAGAUCAUUAAUGUCACUGAUACUAUGAUUGUAUAUGUCGAUAUGAUUUGUGUAUUAGUGAUGUUAACCUAAUGAUAACUAUCAUGGAAGAAAUGAUAGUUUUGCUCAUGGCUUGUAUGGAUUGUAUUGAUUAGGUGGAAAUACUAGUCAAUACAUGAAGUAUAUGACGGUGAAACAUAGCUCAACUAACUUAGAACUACCAUUAAGAGAGGGAAUCCGACUGUAUAAUUAAAACGUAGCAUUGCGAAGGCUGGAAACAGCGUUUACGCAAUGUGAGUCCUGCCCAGUGCUUUGAAUGUCAAUAUACUGACAUGUAUCUAAGCUCAGGUAAACGGCGGGAGUAACUAUGACUCUCUUAAGGUAGCCAAAUGCCUCGUCACCUAAUUAGUGACGCGCAUGAAUGGAUCAACGAGAUUCCCACUGUCCCUACGGACAAUCGAGCGAACCCACAGCCAAGGGAACGGGCUUGGUUAGUGGUUCGGCGGGGAAAGAAGACCCUGUUGAGCUUGACUCUAGUUUAAUUUUGUUAGAGCGCACAUGAGGUGUAGCAUAGGUGGGAGAAACUACUACCGUGUAGUUUCGCCAGUGAAAUACCACCACUCAUGUUGCGCUCUAACUAAGCCGAUUAAUCAUGUCAGGUUUGUGAUCAAUGCACUUGUUUCGUUGUGCAUAGAUUCAAACGUGUUGGUUAUUCGACUUGAUUGAUGAUCGUUAUCUAGUAAUUGAUAAUGGAUAUUGAUUGAAUUGUGUGACGAUUUAGUUGUGAUCGCCUAAUGGCUUCAUUAUAGGGGAUAAUGAAGUUGUUUGAUGAAAACAACUCGUUCAAUCAUUUCUGUUAACACAGGCAAUUAGGUUUUACCUUACCUGUCAGGGAUAACUGAUUUUACUAGUUGAGAGUAUACCGUUACUCACUUCUAGAUGUGAAUUUUGUUAUUGUUUCGUGUAAUCAUUAUUACAUUGAAUCUUGAGAGUGUUGGAUAAAACUCGGGUGACAAUUUAAUAUUGAUCAUAACAUAUUCACCAUUAUCCAUUAUCAUUACUAGUAUUUCGUUCUGCUCCAAUCAAUCAAGUUGGAUUGUGUGGAUUGCCAAUACGUUUGAACGAUCACAAACUAAAUUGUGAUGGUGGGGCGCGAUGAGGAACCUAAGGUUAGGCCG